rnacentral:tRNA from 1 species
AUCACGAUGGCCGAGUGGUUAAGGCGUUGGACUUAAGUUCCAAUGGACAAGUGUCCGCGUGGGUUCGAACCCCACUCGUGCUA